rnacentral:rRNA from 1 species
AACGAACGCUGGCGGCAGGCUUAACACAUGCAAGUCGAACGCAUCCUUCGGGGUGAGUGGCAGACGGGUGAGCAACGCGUGGGAACGUGCCCUUCAGUUCGGGAUAACCCAGGGAAACUUGGGCUAAUACCGGAUACGUGCGAGAGCAGAAAGAUUUAUCGCUGAAGGAUCGGCCCGCGUCUGAUUAGCUAGUUGGUGGGGUAAUGGCCCACCAAGGCGACGAGCAGUAGCUGGUCUGAGAGGAUGAUCAGCCACGUUGGGACUGAGACACGGACCAAACUCCUACGGGAGGCAGCAGUGGGGAAUUUUCCGCAAUGGGCGAAAGCCUGACGGAGCAAUGCCGCGUGGAGGUAGAAGGCCUACGGGUCAUGAACUUCUUUUCCCGGAGAAGAAGCAAUGACGGUAUCCGGGGAAUAAGCAUCGGCUAACUCUGUGCCAGCCGCCGCGGUAA